rnacentral:rRNA from 1 species
GGGCUCGCGGCCUAUCAGCUUGUUGGUGAGGUAAUGGCUCACCAAGGCGUCGACGGGUAGCCGGCCUGAGAGGGUGACCGGCCACACUGGGACUGAGACACGGCCCAGACUCCUACGGGAGGCAGCAGUGGGGAAUAUUGCACAAUGGGCGGAAGCCUGAUGCAGCAACGCCGCGUGAGGGAUGACGGCCUUCGGGUUGUAAACCUCUUUUAGCAGGGAAGAAGCGAGAGUGACGGUACCUGCAGAAAAAGCGCCGGCUAACUACGUGCCAGCAGCCGCGGUAAUACGUAGGGCGCAAGCGUUAUCCGGAAUUAUUGGGCGUAAAGAGCUCGUAGGCGGUUUGUCGCGUCUGCUGUGAAAUCCCGAGGCUCAACCUCGGGCCUGCAGUGGGUACGGGCAGACUAGAGUGCGGUAGGGGAGAUUGGAAUUCCUGGUGUAGCGGUGGAAUGCGCAGAUAUCAGGAGGAACACCGAUGGCGAAGGCAGAUCUCUGGGCCGUAACUGACGCUGAGGAGCGAAAGGGUGGGGAGCAAACAGGCUUAGAUACCCUGGUAGUCCACCCCGUAAACGUUGGGAACUAGUUGUGGGGACCAUUC